ensembl:lncRNA
UCACUGGGCAUGUUUUAGUGCUGCUGGGCUAAGUGUGAACAGCUUCUUGUUUCAUCAAGGGAUCUGGACACACAUCCUUUGUGUUUGGGAAAAAUGCAGCAAAGCAGUUUGGAAACACAAUUUCAGCCUCUCAUUAUGCAAUCAAGGAAGGAGGGGGCGUCCAGAGGGGAAAGGGCAGGGCGCCCAGCAUCAGCUGAAGGGGACACCCACAAUGUUGUGGCGAUUUGUGAAGAAGGCCCUUGCCCUCUCGGGGGCAGGGAAAUCCACUGUCUGCUCUCAAACGACCCCCGCUGCCGGGUUGCUGACUGUUUUCGCAGCCACUGAGGUUUCCUCACUUUGAGCCAAUGAAGGACGCCUCCACAGCAUGGCUUGAUGUACAGUGUAGGUUGGCACCUGGGAUCCAAACCCAUGAACCUGGGCUGCUGAAGUGGAGUGCGCCAAGAGCAGCCCCAUGCCACUGGGCUGGCCCCCACUUCUUCAUGAUUUUAUACGGCAUUCAGCCACUCCAUGAUUGCUCCCCACACGCCCAUGCCUCUGAGUGUGUGCGUGCACAUGCAUGUGUAUGUAUAUGUGUAUGUGAGUGUGUACGUGUGUGUACGUGCAUGUGUGAUGGGCAGGUAAGGGUGAUUCCGGGUGAGGAGGGCUCAGCCCUACUUCAUGGAUCUGACUCCUGUCUUCCCUCUGCCCAGCCCCACCCCAAGCUUAGAGUGGCAAAUCUUUGUGUGUGAGUGGGAGGACUGUCAAGUACUUCCAGUAGGUAAGGGAGCUUUUCUCUCUCUUGUUUGCUCCCUUGUACAGAUUUAUUUAGGUGGAUUAAGUGGAAAUUUGUCCCCGUCACUAGAACUGUGAACAGCCGUUUUCUCCAGGUCCCAGAAACAGUGGCUCACAGUUGAAGGCAGAGCAGCCGUCAGAGGUACAAGGGGAAGAGCCAGAAUUUAAUGAGACUCCUGGAAUCCGUCGGAUUGAGCUGCUCCUAGGCCUGGACCAUUCUCUACUCUACCUCUUUAUACCAAGAACUGAGUCCUUUCCGGCGGGUGUAGGUGACUUGUCAUGUCUUCCGUCACAUAUUGUUUCCAGUUCUGUUGGUGUAGUGCACUUUCCAGAAUCUUUACAUCUUUCGCUGUCGUCUUGGGUCGCCUGCACCUAACGUCCCCUCCGUGUGCAGGCUGCAGUUCUGAGCAUCUCAGUCAGGGCAUUUUAGUUUGGCUGAGCUGGGACUCUGAGGCUGACAGUGUAGACAAACCCAGCCUCCCCCACCCCCAGCGUAUUGGUGGACCAGGAGGUAACCCAGGGUUGGAGGUGGGAGAAGGCAUUUUAACUGAGGGUUCAGGGGCAAGAAGAUGCAGAAGAGAGACGGGGGGUGGGAGUCUUCCCCAGCUGCCCUUUGAGCGUGGUUUCCACCCUCGUGUUGAAGGGCGUAAGUCAAAAGCGGACGGAUGGCCUAGAGGCCAUCUCCAGGGAGGCUGCUUGAGCCGAGGGGCCCUGGAGCGGCUGGGUUGAGAGGAGGCUGUGGUUCCCCUGCAGGGACUCGGAAGCCAGGGCAGUCCUGACACCCUGCAGAUUGUAAGUUUGGGGAGAACAGGGACACUGGGCUUCUCCUCUGCAGAGACACCUCCUCAGGUGGCAGGUGGAGGAGAAGACUAACAGGAAUGCGGGUCUGUGGGUAAGACAGCUUCGGACUCCUUCGCAGACACAUAUGAAAAUCUCUUUGGUGACAGGUGAUGCUCUGAUGGGGGUAAGUGCCUGGUUGGGCAGGGCACGGGCACUUGGAACCCUUGCAAUUUGAGCACAAAUGCACUGUGAAGCAGAAAACUGGUGAACUUGUCGCUUCCUGGCUGCGCGGAAUGACCCAAACCAGGUAAACUGGAGUCCCCAAGGGGACAAGCAGAGAAGGAAGAUGCUGAAGUUAUUCCACGAAUGGCUUGCUCGCGAGAAGCCUGCUGCUGCUGGGCCGCUGGCUGGCUGACUCCGGCACAGGCCGGUUUCCAGGGCAGCCCAGGAGGGGUGGGCUGAGGGGCAGGACCCGGUCCAGUUCUUCCAGGAGGAGGUCACCACAAUGUGUGUAUGCCUCUACCUAUACAUAUAUAUCGUGCAGCAUUGUUAUUUUUUAAGUGUUGCGAACCAAAGACAAGGGAUAUCAAGUUUCCUCAGAAAAUUGUGCUUGUUUUCCAGUGCCUCUGAUUGGGUUGCUGCCACCUUGCAGAUUCCUCUCAACUCUAUGAAGCGGCUCCUUUUCCACCCCAGCCACCACUCCUUCCUUGCUCACUUCCUCUCGUUUCUUUGGACCCUUCUUUCUUCCCCUCUAGUCCCUUCUUUUCCUCAGCCUCCCACCCGUCCUCUUUCUCCUCAACCUCGUGCACAUCGCCCCUGCUCUGUUUGGAUUUGGUUGUUAAUCACAGUUGGCUUUCAAGAUGCAUCAGGAGAGCUGGAUAUGCAGGGCUGCCAGCAACAACGACUGAGGUGGCUGCCCAUCUCACAGUCAUUUGCCCCCCUCUUGGAUGGGCCCCCUGUGGCCAUGCCCAUGCUCCACGACCCUGCUCCAUGCCCUGUCUGACUCUGAUGGGGCCAAUCAGGUUAUCUCUGCCUUGAGACCAUGAAACGGGGAACAGAGAGUCAGAGAGAGGAGCUGAGCCCCUCUGAUUGCAGCACCGGAGAGAGAAGGCUAGUAAUAACCGCCUGCUGUUGUGGCAGCUGUGGCAGCUGUGGGCUCAUAUGCCCACCAAGCCCAGCUGGCACGGAGGAAGCACGGGCAGCCCUCCUUGGUACCGUUUGGGUACUGUGUUAGAAUGGACCAUGCUGCGGUAACAAACAGGCCGACACCUCAGGGGCUGACUCAGAAAACGUUCAUUUUGCCUUUACCACCCACUGCGUAAUGGUUGGUGACUCUCCAGAGCUGCCCUCCUCUAAGUAGUGACUCAGAGGCCCUGGUAGCUCCCGUUGGGUAGCCAUGCCCUCUGGAACGUGUGGCCUCCAACGUCGCUUCAUCAGGGAAAGGGAGAGGAGGGGAAAACACAUCCGCUGUCACCACUGUGGCCAAGAAGGAUCACACAGAAGUAUCACACGUCUCUUUACUUCCCAUUUCAAUUGCCACACCUGCCACGGGGACUCCUGGGAACCACAGAGGAAUCAUAGCUAUUUGGUGAACAUGACUUCUCUCCGCCACACAUCAUUUUUCGGUCGACGAGAAAAAGAAGAAAGAAACUCUUCUCUAGGAUGCCAAAAUUUGUGAUGAGAGUGGCUCUUGACAUACAUAUUUUAAGGCCAACAGAAUCUUUGGAGUGAAGCGAGAUAUAAGAUGAAAGGUAUUAUUUUGUUUGACUUCAAAUGUGCCAGAGCGAAGGUAGCCGCUGGUCCCCCCACCUCAUCCUUCUGGUCACUCAAAAGGACAGCUAAGCACAGCCCCUCACAGCCUCCAAACCUACAGGGCUGAGAUUGGGGUACUGGAGGAGGUGGGGGGCUGCUUCUUUAAGUGAAAUGUCCUCUCUGAUUCCAGAAACCCCGGAGGAUGCAUCUUAAAUGAGCAGGGAAAUUGGCUUUUCUCCCAUCUAUGGCUGUUCAUCUUGCUGGCAGGAGAGGAGUGGUGCAUCAAGGGCAUUAGGUCUCUUCCUGUGUCCCUCUAUUCCAUGCCACCUCAUCAGCCCUGCUCUCCUUCAAGGAAGCCACAUGUUUUGGAACAGACGUUCGGUUUCAGCCCUCAGCGGGCCUUGGGUUUUGUGGGCAACACAGCAUAGUAGGAGAACACAAGUGCCGGUCACAGGUACCUGAGUUUGAGCCCUGGCUCCACCCAGAAUAACCUUAUGUGGUGAAUACAGGCACGAGGAAGGCUAAGGAGCUUACUGAAGAGCCAGGAGCUGGUCAGAGGGGAGUCUGGAAUGACACUCAGCUCCUGACUCCAAACCGUGGCCUAAGCCCCACACUUUGUGUUUUGGGAAUGAGCAUCUUCCCUAAAGCCUGCAGUCCUGGCCCAGCCCAGCUGCAGCCCCUGUAACUACAGCCCGUUUCUAAAUCGCCCCUCCCCGGUGCCCACGUGCCUUUGUGAGCCAGGCCAUUCUUCCCGCCAGCCCUGGUCGCAGCCAAGCUUGCUGUGCCCUUGAACUUUUUUGCUUGGGUCAUGAAGAAAGGAACCUUCAGUGCAUUUCAAUUCUCCAAGACAAGCUUGCAGAGAUGCUGCUGGCCCCUUCCCAGUGAUGAUUUAUGCAGGGUACGUGGAAAAGCAUGCUGUUUUCAUUCCUUUUAAAACCAAGUAAUGACCUAGGGGGAGAACGUUAUGUCUGUAUCUGUCUCUGUUCCUUUCUCUGUAUCUCUGUCUCUUUUUCUAUCUAAAUCUGUGUAUCCACAUCUAUAUUUGUCUGCAUAGAGAUGCAGUGACGUGAAUUUAGUAGCCUAACAGAGCCUUGCCACACUGUCGUCUAUUUAUAUUUGACCUGGUAGAAUUUGGCACUUAUUUGCAAUGCAAAGAUGCAGAGUUGCAUCGUGUCCUUUAAGAAAUAUAUACGUAAAUAUAGGCCAACCCUUUCAAGCAAAAUAAAAAUAUAUGGUGCUUGUCUUUGUGUUACGGAGAUGCAGGUAUUCAAAUCAACUCAGGAUAAUACUCACUGGGAAACUGAGAAGAAACACUAACUGAGUGACUUUGGGCAAGUCCCUCAAAUGCUCAGAGUCUCAAAUUCUUCAUGAAAAAACUGCAAGAUUUAGACCAGAUGAUCUCUAAGGGAAAGCCAACUCCUGUGAUCCAGAAGCUUUUGAUUUUUGCCUGGCAUCCUUUAAUAAAUAGCUUUUACUCCAAAUCUGGUCUUACAGAUUGUUCUUAGGAAAUUACAAUUGCAGGUAGAAGAGCAGGGUAGUCCUGGGUUUGGGCUGUGUAUCUGUCAAGGUAUAGUCAGGAAAUGCAUGCCAGGUCACUCAGCAGAGGGAAUUUAAUACAAGGACUCCGUCACAAAGUGUUGGAAGCUCUGCAAAGCCAAACGGGGCGGUGAGGAAACCCAAAGGUCAGCCAUGGCAGAAACUUACCACCAUCCUCAGGCUGCAGGGGCAAAGGCAGGAGGGUCAGAG